GCAAGUCGAACGAGAAGUUACCUUCGGGUAAUGGACAGUGGCGGUCGGGUGAGUAACACGUGGGAAUAUGCCUUUUGGUCCAGAACAACGCUUGGAAACGAGUGCUUAUACUGUAUACGCCCUCCGGGGGAAAGAUUUAUCGCCGAGUGAUUGGCCCGCGUUAGAUUAGCUAGUUGGUGAGGUAAUGGCUCACCAAGGCGACGAUCUAUAGCUGGUUUGAGAGGGUGAUC
rnacentral:rRNA from 1 species